rnacentral:rRNA from 1 species
GGGGAACGCGAAGAACCUUACCAAGGUUUGACAUGCAGGGGAAACGUUCAGAGACGGUGGGCCCGCAAGGUCGGCCUACAGGUGGUGCAUGGUUGUCGUCAGCUCGUGUCGUGAGAUGUUGGGUUAAGUCCCGCAACGAGCGCAACCCUCGUUCUAUGUUGCCAGCAGGUAAUGGUGGGAACUCAUGGGAGACUGCCGGGGUCAACUCGGAGGAAGGUGGGGAUGACGUCAAAUCAUCAUGCCCCUUAUGUCUUGGGCUUCACGCAUGCUACAAUGGCCGGUACAAAGGGCUGCGAUACCGCGAGGUGGAGCGAAUCCCAAAAAGCCGGUCUCAGUUCGGAUUGGGGUCUGCAACUCGACCCCAUGAAGUCGGAGUCGCUAGUAAUCGCAGAUCAGCAACGCUGCGGUGAAUACGUUCCCGGGUCUUGUACACACCGAACA